ACUUCCGGGGGGCGGCGCGAACGGCAAUGGCGGUCUUCUCCCGACGGGAGAGGAGGCUCCGCUGAAAUCGGGUCGUCCGCUACGGCGAAGCGGAGACCCAACGAGGAAAACCCCAGGCAGCAAGAGCCUGGGGUCCUGAGGCUCGGCGGGCGCCACGAGCAGCCCUCCAACUGCAGAAGGAGCCUCGUAAGGGGCUCCGGAGCGUGGAGGGGGGUUGCGGUGCUGAGAGCCGUUUCACAGUCAGCGGAGUGAAGCCGCGCUGCUGCUGCCGGUGAGCGCUGAUCCCUUUUCCUGUCAAAAUUCGGACUUGGAAGAAAAACAACUUAUUCGUGAGUAAAGACUGAAUCACUUGGAAUUACAAAUUUUAAAUGAGAAGGUUUAAUUCGGCUUGAACUUGGCUGAAAGCGGAGAGACGUGGAAACAGGAAGUCCGUCUUCCGCAGCCAUUGAACUUGAAAAAAAAGCAACUAAGGCGGAGGAGUGGAGGCUGAAAGAAAGAGAUUUUAAAUUCUACACAGCCAAGCAUCUAUGGAACUUACAAUUUAAAGUAAAACCAGUAAGCUAAAGAUUUGGACCUUUUAUUUGCACUUGACUUUCCCCCUUUUAUUGGAUUACAAAUUGGAAGGUGAAACCCAGAGUCAGGAUUGCUUGAGCACUGUAAGAGUGAGCUGUCAGUGUUGAUUUGGAUACUGUAUAUUAGAAUUUGCAACAAUCUGAGGGUAUUGAGACCUUUUAAAUUUGAAACAUUCUUUUUGGAGACAAAUAAGCACUGUCUGCAACAAAGUGAUUACUUUUAAACUCUGCUUAAUACUUAUAUUGGAAGGUUCUGGGACAUUAAAUCAGACUCUGAAAGACAUCUUAAGCUCCCUCUAGAGGAUUGGAUUAAAACAGUGACUUUACAAAUACAUUUACUUUCGAUUCCCUUGUUGUUUGCUUGCUCUGGGCCUUUCUAUUCCUGUGGGAAAAACUCAGUGUGACCUUGACUGAUAGAUAACAUUGGAAUGAGUGGUACAAGAAGAAGAGGAAGAGUCAGACAAACAACUUUAACAACUCUAACCUCAGCCUCGCAGACACGUAGAUCAUCUGUGCCUACUUUGCCCUCAGAAGUACAACUUGAAGAAGCUGCUUUGCCACAGGCAAAAGAGGGAGAGGGUGAAGCAGAGCAGUUACAAUUGGAAGAUAUGGCCUCAGGAGCAUCUGUUUCUGUUCUAGAAAAAAUCUUUGAAAAAUUGGAAGCUUUGGACAAGAAAGUAGAUGCGCAAUCAGCAAAGAUUGAUAAAAAUACAGAUUGUCUAAACAAAUUAACUACACAGGUGGGACAGAAUACACAAGCAAUUGGACAGUUAACGGAGGCCUCAGUAGAAAACCGAAAAUUGGCUGAGGAUACCAGACAAAAAUUGGAAAAUUUAGAGCAAGAGGUAAGACCACUCACUAAACAAGUUGGGGAACAUCAGACUUAUCUUUCUAUGAUAGAACUGCGAAAUCGUGAGAAUAAUUUGAGGAUUAGAUCAUUACAAGAGGCAGAAGAAGGAAAUCUAACUGAGUUUUUGACCAAAGAACUUUCCAAGUUCUGGAAUUUGGAAGAAAAGGACUUUAAAAUUGUGUCAGCUUUCAGACUUGGAAGAUUUAUAAAGAAGGAGAGGCCCAGGGAUUGUUUGAUUACAUUGAGAUCGAAGGAGGAAAGGGAUAAGAUUUUGGGUCUACAUUACGAAAAGUCACUGGAGGUUUUGGAUAGAAGAAUUGAGAUAUAUAAAGAUAUUCCAAGACAACUGUUGGAUCUCAGAGCCGCCUACUCUGAACUUGCUAAAUUAUUAAGGAGCAACGCAAUUCCAUUCAGGUGGGAAUUUCCCCAAGGAUUAUCUUUUACCUUUAGAGCGAGAAAGGUCAAAAUUAGAACAUUGGAAGAGAGAGAUAAAUUUCUGGCUACAUACGGAGAGGACCUACAAAAAGGAAUUGAACUACCUUCCGGGCCUGGGGCAAAGCCAGCAUUAAUACCUGCACCUGGGGAACUUGAAGAUCCAGAGAAGACACCACCCCGGGAGAAAUAACCAGACAGAUCCAGGAUGUCUCUGCAACUGUUGAGCUGGAACAUUAAUGGUUGUAACAUUCCGGAGAAAAGGAAGAAAAUAUUUCAUAUAUUAAAAAAAGAACAAUUGGACAUUAUCUGUUUACAAGAAACACAUGUGACGAGGCUCCACAGAAAAGUGUUAAUAAAUAAAAGAUUGGGCCAGGAAUUUAUUUCGUCGGACAAAGUGAAGAAGAGAGGAGUGGUGAUAUAUGCAAAAGAGAGCCUGUCACCUAAAUUUCUAUUUAAAGAUGAACAUGGAAGGAUUUUGGCUAUUGAGAUACAAUAUCAAGGAGAGAAACUGCUGAUAUUAGGAAUCUAUGCACCCAAUGAAGGGAAAUCGGAAUUUUACAAGAAGUUGCAGGGGACAAUGCUGGAUCAUCUGGAUUACAACAACAUCAUAAUGAUGGGAGACAUGAACGGGGUCGUAUCAACUAACAUGGACAAGUCGCAAAGUCAAAAUGUCACAAAAGAUGGCAGACUACCUAAAACCUUUUUGAAAUGACUGACAAUAUGGACUUGAUUGACAUUUGGAGAACAAAGAACCCACUAGGUAGAGAAGGAACAUUCUUUUCUGAAGCCCAACUGACCUGGACAAGAAUCGACCAAAUAUGGAUUUCUAGAGGCCUGGCACCUAGGGUUAGAAAAGUGGAAAUCUGCCCAAAGACCUGCUCUGACCACAACGCAGUAAAGAUGGAUAUGACACUACUACCAACUGGAUCCUUUAGAUGGAAGAUGAAUGACAAUUUGUUUAGAGAUCAGGAAAUUACCAAGAAGGCCCAAAAAGUUUUGAAAGACUAUUUCGAGAUAAACAUGAAUAAUUCGGUGGAAAAAGAAUCGUCUGGGACGCAAGCAAAGCUGUCAUGAGGGGAUUCUUGAUACAACAGAAUGUAGUAAGGAAAAAAACACAAAAUGAGAAAAAAGACAAGAUCUUGGAUAAAAUAAAAGAAUUAGAGAAGAAAUUAAGAGUGAAUCCAAAGUCACAGCCAACUCUGAGAGAAAUUAAACUGUAUCAAACACAAUAUUCUAAAUUGAUAAAUCAGGAAAUUGAAUGGAAGAUUAAAUUAAUGAAACAAAAAACGUUUGAGUCGGCGAAUAAAUGUGGAAAACUGCUAUCUUGGCAGUUGAAGAGAAGACAAAGAUUAAAUACGGUUACAAAUUUAGAGGUCGAUGGAAGAAACAUUCAGAAUCCAGUGGACAUUAGAAAGUGUUUCCAGAGAUAUUUUAAAAAACUAUAUACCCAAGGGCCGCAAGACGAAGUCGAGAUUAAACAAUUUUUGGCAAAAAAUGGAUUAUCUAAACUGUCACAAGAAAAUAGGACAACCCUGAACUCUAAAAUAACACGACAGGAGAUUGAACAAGCUAUUCAGAACAUGCAACUUGGCAAAUCUCCAGGGCCAGACGGGCUGACCUCCAAGUAUUAUAAGACACUAAAAGACUAUUUGAUACAACCCUUGAUGGAGGUUAGCAAUGAAAUUAUGGAGGGAAGAGGGCACCGGAUUCGUGGAAGGAAGCGUUUAUCACAUUGAUACCAAAGUCAGAAGCUGAAAAGACACAACUGAAGAACUACCGUCCCAUCUCCCUUUUAAAUGUGGAUUACAAAAUAUUUGCAGAUAUUUUGGCAAGUAGAUUUAAAAUAGUUUUAAAUGUAGUAAUUCAUAAGGACCAGGCCGGUUUUCUCCCAGGUAGACAUCUGUUUGCUAACACAAGGAACAUUAUUGAUAUCUUGGAACUUCUCCAAACUGACAUAAAUACAAAAGCAGUUUUAAUUUUUAUAGAUGCGGAGAAGGCCUUUGAUAAUAUUUCUUGGAAAUUUAUGAUGGGAAACUUAAAAGAGAUGGGAGUGGGACGGGGUUUUGAGAAUGGGAUUGAGGCGAUAUAUUCAGAACAGAAAGCUAAACUGAUAGUUAAUAAUGUGGUUACAGAAGAGUUCAAAAUUGAAAAAGGGACACGACAAGGCUGCCCUAUCUCCCCUUUGUUAUUUAUUUCGGUUCUGGAAGUGCUAUUGAACAUGAUUAGAGGGGACCAGUUGGUGGAAGGAAUUCAGGUUGGUCAGAAACAAUAUAAACUAAAAGCUUUUGCAGAUGACCUGGUUUUGACCUUGCAGAAGCCAGAGCCUAGUACGAAAAGAGUAUUACAAUUGAUUAAUGACUUUGGUCGGGUGGCGGGAUUUAAAUUAAAUAAACAGAAAACCAAGGUUUUGGGAAAAAAUUUGACUGAGACAGAGUCAGAACGGUUUCAGAAUGAGACGGAACUUAAUGUGGUUAAAAAGUAAAAUACCUAGGGGUAAACAUAACAGCAAAAAAUCUAAGUCUAUUUAAGGAUAACUAUGAAAAAUGUUGGACAGAAAUUAAGAGAGACUUAGACAGUUGGUCAAAAUUGAAACUUUCUUUGUUAGGCCGAAUUGCUGCGAUUAAGAUGAAUGUAUUGCCAAGAAUGUUGUUUUUAUUUCAAACACUUCAGGUUUUGGACAAAAUGGAGUGCUUUCAGAAGUGGCAGAGAGACAUUUCGAAGUUUGUCUGGCAGGGCAAAAAGCCCAGAAUUAAGUUUAAGAUACUAACUGAUGCAAAACAAAGAGGGGCUUUGCCCUGCCGGACUUAAAGUUGUAUUACGAAGCCGCAGCGUUCUGCUGGCUAAAAGAUUGGCUACUUCUUGAAGACACUGAUGUGUUAGAUUUGGAAGGGUUUAACAAUGUUUUUGGAUGGCAUGCAUAUUUAUGGUAUGACAAAGUUAAAGCAAAUAAGGCCUUUAAGAACCAUAUUGUUAGAAAAUCACUGUUUAAUGUCUGGACAAAAUAUAAAGACUUGCUGGAAAAUAAAACACCAAGGUGGCUUUCACCUUUGGAAGCUAAGGCCCGAAAAAGACCCAAUAUGGAGGCCAAAUGGCCAAAAUAUUGGGAAAUACUAGGAAAAGAUGGAGACAAUUGGAAAUUGCAGAGUUUGGAGAAAAUGAAAGACAAAGUGCGAGAUUGGUUACAUUAUGCUCAGAUUAAAGAAGUUUUUAAAAAUGAUAAGAAACUAGGGUUCCAGGUGGAGAAAUCGAAAUUAGAAACAGAAUUGUUAGAACCAAAGACUAAGAUACUUUCAAGGAUGUAUAACUUGCUGUUGGAAUGGAAUACACAAGAUGAAAUGGUUAAAUCGGCUAUGAUAAGGUGGGCACAGGAUAUUGGGCAUAAUAUUAUGUUUGAGGACUGGGAAAGGCUGUGGAGUAAUGGAUUGAAAUUUACUGCAUGUAAUGCUUUGAAAGAAAAUGUAAUGAAAAUGAUUUAUAGAUGGUAUAUGACCCCAGUCAAACUCGCAAAAAUUUACCACCUGUCUGAUAACAAGUGCUGGAAAUGUAAAGAGUGUGAAGGAACGUUCUUUCACCUCUGGUGGACCUGCCCUAAAGUGAAGGCGUUCUGGGAAAUGAUUUAUAAUGAAUUGAAAAAGGUAUUUAAAUAUACUUUCACUAAGAAACCAGAGGCUUUCCUUUUGGGUAUUGUCAGCCAAGGGGUGGCAAAGAAGGACCAAACAUUUUUAUGUAUGCAACAACAGCAGCAAGGAUACUACUCGCAAAACAUUGGAAAACUCAAGAUCUACCCACACUGGAAGAAUGGCAGAUGCAACUGAUAGACUAUAUGCAACUGGCUGAAAUGACUGGCAGAAUCCGUGACCUGGGAGAAGAGAGAAUCGAGGAGGAUUGGAAGAAAUUUAAGAACUACCUACAAAAACAUUGUGAUUUGACUGAAUGCUGAAUAAGAUGCUUGACUAAAUAACUGAGCACCACUUAACUUAGAAGUUUUUAAGAAAAUAAGAAAAACUGUGAAAGUUUAACUCUUUAUGAGAACUAUAAGAUCAUGAAAUAUCGAAGAGAUAUAAGAAUUUAAAUAAGAUGAUAAAUUGCUGACAAAAUGUUAUAAUGAUGAAGGUGGGAGCGGGAGAUGUGAGGAAGUCCAAAGAAAAUGUGAAAUUAUGUUAAGACGAAUGUUAUAUUGUUUAUUACAUUUAUUCCUAUUGUAAAAUCCAAUAAAUUGCUUUAAAAAAAAA